AAGACUAAUCUAUUCAAGCAGAGGUGAUAGUUGUCUACACGGCUUCAGUAAGGCUGGCUUCAUCGGGUAUCGUGUUUGUACUCUGCGUCCCUGUUGCCAUGUUUUGUUUAGUGCUUUUUGAUCUGUUCAUAGCCCUUCUCUGCUUUUUUCCUUUUGGGUAUGGUUGUUGCUUUGGUUUACGACAUGUAGCGUUGAUCAUCCUCUAUAUAAGGUUGUUUCUCUCCGUCUGGAUGCUUACCUCUUCUGAUUAUGGAAAUGAACAAAAAAACUCCUCUAAUUGAA
rnacentral:lncRNA from 1 species